rnacentral:rRNA from 1 species
AGAUGGCGACCGGCGCACGGGUGAGUAACACGUAUCCAACCUGCCGAUAACUCGGGGAUAGCCUUUCGAAAGAAAGAUUAAUACCCGAUGGUAUAAUCAGACCGCAUGGUCUUGUUAUUAAAGAAUUUCGGUUAUCGAUGGGGAUGCGUUCCAUUAGGCAGUUGGUGAGGUAACGGCUCACCAAACCUUCGAUGGAUAGGGGUUCUGAAAGGAAGGUCCCCCACAUUGGAACUGAGACACGGUCCAA